GAUUAAGUUAUUAAGGGCGCACGGUGGAUGCCUUGGCACUAGAAGCCGAUGAAGGACGUUACUAACGACGAUAUGCUUUGGGGAGCUGUAAGUAAGCUUUGAUCCAGAGAUUUCCGAAUGGGGAAACCCAGCAUGAGUUAUGUCAUGUUAUCGAUAUGUGAAUACAUAGCAUAUCAGAAGGCACACCCGGAGAACUGAAACAUCUUAGUACCCGGAGGAAGAGAAAGAAAAUUCGAUUCCCUUAGUAGCGGCGAGCGAAACGGGAAGAGCCCAAACCAACAAGCUUGCUUGUUGGGGUUGUAGGACACUCUAUACGGAGUUACAAAGGACGACAUUAGACGAAUCAUCUGGAAAGAUGAAUCAAAGAAGGUAAUAAUCCUGUAGUCGAAAAUGUUGUCUCUCUUGAGUGGAUCCUGAGUACGACGGAGCACGUGAAAUUCCGUCGGAAUCUGGGAGGACCAUCUCCUAAGGCUAAAUACUCUCUAGUGACCGAUAGUGAACCAGUACCGUGAGGGAAAGGUGAAAAGCACCCCGGAAGGGGAGUGAAAUAGAACCUGAAACCGUGUGCUUACAAGUAGUCAGAGCCCGUUAAUGGGUGAUGGCGUGCCUUUUGUAGAAUGAACCGGCGAGUUACGAUUUGAUGCAAGGUUAAGCAGUAAAUGUGGAGCCGUAGCGAAAGCGAGUCUGAAUAGGGCGUUUAGUAUUUGGUCGUAGACCCGAAACCAGGUGAUCUACCCUUGGUCAGGUUGAAGUUCAGGUAACACUGAAUGGAGGACCGAACCGACUUACGUUGAAAAGUGAGCGGAUGAACUGAGGGUAGCGGAGAAAUUCCAAUCGAACCUGGAGAUAGCUGGUUCUCUCCGAAAUAGCUUUAGGGCUAGCCUCAAGUGAUGAUUAUUGGAGGUAGAGCACUGUUUGGACGAGGGGCCCCUCUCGGGUUACCGAAUUCAGACAAACUCCGAAUGCCAAUUAAUUUAACUUGGGAGUCAGAACAUGGGUGAUAAGGUCCGUGUUCGAAAGGGAAACAGCCCAGACCACCAGCUAAGGUCCCAAAAUAUAUGUUAAGUGGAAAAGGAUGUGGCGUUGCCCAGACAACUAGGAUGUUGGCUUAGAAGCAGCCAUCAUUUAAAGAGUGCGUAAUAGCUCACUAGUCGAGUGACACUGCGCCGAAAAUGUACCGGGGCUAAACAUAUUACCGAAGCUGUGGAUUGUCCUUUGGACAAUGGUAGGAGAGCGUUCUAAGGGCGUUGAAGCAUGAUCGUAAGGACAUGUGGAGCGCUUAGAAGUGAGAAUGCCGGUGUGAGUAGCGAAAGACGGGUGAGAAUCCCGUCCACCGAUUGACUAAGGUUUCCAGAGGAAGGCUCGUCCGCUCUGGGUUAGUCGGGUCCUAAGCUGAGGCCGACAGGCGUAGGCGAUGGAUAACAGGUUGAUAUUCCUGUACCACCUAUAAUCGUUUUAAUCGAUGGGGGGACGCAGUAGGAUAGGCGAAGCGUGCGAUUGGAUUGCACGUCUAAGCAGUAAGGCUGAGUAUUAGGCAAAUCCGGUACUCGUUAAGGCUGAGCUGUGAUGGGGAGAAGACAUUGAGUCUUCGAGUCGUUGAUUUCACACUGCCGAGAAAAACCUCUAGAUAGAAAAUAGGUGCCCGUACCGCAAACCGACACAGGUAGUCAAGAUGAGAAUUCUAAGGUGAGCGAGCGAACUCUCGUUAAGGAACUCGGCAAAAUGACCCCGUAACUUCGGGAGAAGGGGUGCUCUUUAGGGUUAACGCCCAGAAGAGCCGCAGUGAAUAGGCCCAAGCGACUGUUUAUCAAAAACACAGGUCUCUGCUAAACCGUAAGGUGAUGUAUAGGGGCUGACGCCUGCCCGGUGCUGGAAGGUUAAGAGGAGUGGUUAGCUUCUGCGAAGCUACGAAUCGAAGCCCCAGUAAACGGCGGCCGUAACUAUAACGGUCCUAAGGUAGCGAAAUUCCUUGUCGGGUAAGUUCCGACCCGCACGAAAGGCGUAACGAUUUGGGCACUGUCUCAACGAGAGACUCGGUGAAAUCAUAGUACCUGUGAAGAUGCAGGUUACCCGCGACAGGACGGAAAGACCCCGUGGAGCUUUACUGUAGCCUGAUAUUGAAAUUCGGCACAGCUUGUACAGGAUAGGUAGGAGCCUUUGAAACGUGAGCGCUAGCUUACGUGGAGGCGCUGGUGGGAUACUACCCUAGCUGUGUUGGCUUUCUAACCCGCACCACUUAUCGUGGUGGGAGACAGUGUCAGGCGGGCAGUUUGACUGGGGCGGUCGCCUCCUAAAAGGUAACGGAGGCGCUCAAAGGUUCCCUCAGAAUGGUUGGAAAUCAUUCAUAGAGUGUAAAGGCAUAAGGGAGCUUGACUGCGAGACCUACAAGUCGAGCAGGGUCGAAAGACGGACUUAGUGAUCCGGUGGUUCCGCAUGGAAGGGCCAUCGCUCAACGGAUAAAAGCUACCCCGGGGAUAACAGGCUUAUCUCCCCCAAGAGUUCACAUCGACGGGGAGGUUUGGCACCUCGAUGUCGGCUCAUCGCAUCCUGGGGCUGUAGUCGGUCCCAAGGGUUGGGCUGUUCGCCCAUUAAAGCGGUACGCGAGCUGGGUUCAGAACGUCGUGAGACAGUUCGGUCCCUAUCCGUCGUGGGCGUAGGAAAUUUGAGAGGAGCUGUCCUUAGUACGAGAGGACCGGGAUGGACAUACCUCUGGUGUACCAGUUGUCGUGCCAACGGCAUAGCUGGGUAGCUAUGUGUGGACGGGAUAAGUGCUGAAAGCAUCUAAGCAUGAAGCCCCCCUCAAGAUGAGAUUUCCCAACUUCGGUUAUAAGAUCCCUCAAAGAUGAUGAGGUUAAUAGGUUCGAGGUGGAAGCAUGGUGACAUGUGGAGCUGACGAAUACUAAUCGAUCGAAGACUUAAUCAA
rnacentral:rRNA from 1 species